rnacentral:tRNA from 1 species
GAGGGAGGCUUGCUAGCAACAAAGACUGCUAACCCUUGUAAUUUCGGUUGAAUUCCGGAGCUCCCCCA